UAACUUUUUUAAUUUGAAUAUUUAUAGAUUGGAAAAGUUAGAAUUAAUUUUAUGGGAUGACGUAGCUGAGAAUGAAGGUACAACAAUUGAAGAUACAUUUAGAAUAAUGAUAACAAACCAAUAGUUGCUAUAUAAAAUGUUACAGCUUCUCUUUAAAAAGGCGAUCUUCAAUUAUGUUCCAAUCAUAUCACAGCCAUUCAAAUUAAUCCAAACAUCUUAGAAGCCGAUGAAUUGCAAGAUUUAUAUAAUUAUGUUAUGUUGGAUAAUAAUGAAUUAUGUCUAUUAUCAAAUCCAAAAAGAAUAAGCAAAGCACCACACGUGACGCUAAAAGAAGUUACGUAAAAAGAUUUUGAAGGACUCGAAUGUUGCUUUAAAGCAAACAUAACAAAAGUGGAAAACAAGUUUUAUGG